rnacentral:rRNA from 1 species
UACAGAGGUCUCAAGCGUUGUUCGGAAUUACUGGGCGUAAGGGGCUCGUAGGUGGCCAACUAAGUCAGACGUGAAAUCCCUCAGCUUAACUGGGGAACUGCGUCUGAUACUGGAUGGCUUGAGUCUGGGAGAGGGAUGCGGAAUUCCAGGUGUAGCGGUGAAAUGCGUAGAUAUCUGGAGGAACACCGGUGGCGAAGGCGGCAUCCUGGACCAACACUGACACUGAUGAGCGAAAGCCAGGGGAGCAAACGGG